rnacentral:pre_miRNA from 1 species
UAUUUACUCCCUCCGUCCGGAAAUACUUGUUAUCAAAAUAGAUAAAAGGGGAUGUAUCUAGAUGUAUUUUAGUUCUAGAUACAUAUCUUUUUAUCCAUUUUGAUGACAAGUAUUUCCAGACGGAGGGAGUACAUU